UGGCUCUCGCAUCGAUGAAGAACGCAGCGAAGCGCGAAAUGUAGUGUGAAUCGCAGAACAUUGUGAAUCAUCGAAUCUUUGAACGCACAUUGCGCCUCCGGUAACUUGGAGGCAUGCCUGUCUGAGCGUCAUUUAAAACCAUAAACCCACAUGGGUUUGUAUUGGGCGUCGCCUUGUGGCGUAGCCUCAAAGACAUUGGUCUCUCACGCGGACGAGCUCCAUUAGGACAGAUCGCGCCGGGACCCUAAGCAUCUGACUUGACCUCAGAUCAGGUAGGACUACCGCCUGA
rnacentral:misc_RNA from 1 species